rnacentral:rRNA from 1 species
GACGAACGCUGGCGGCGUGCCUAAUACAUGCAAGUAGAACGCACAGUUUAUACCGUAGCUUGCUACACCAUAGACUGUGAGUUGCGAACGGGUGAGUAACGCGUAGGUAACCUGCCUGGUAGCGGGGGAUAACUAUUGGAAACGAUAGCUAAUACCGCAUAAUAUUGAUUAUUGCAUGAUAAUUGAUUGAAAGAUGCUAUUGCAUCACUACCAGAUGGACCUGCGUUGUACUAGCUAGUAGGUGAGGUAACGGCUCACCUAGGCGACGAUACAUAGCCGACCUGAGAGGGUGAUCGGCCACACUGGGACUGAGACACGGCCCAGACUCCUACGGGAGGCAGCAGUAGGGAAUCUUCGGCAAUGGACGAAAGUCUGACCGAGCAACGCCGCGUGAGUGAAGAAGGUUUUCGGAUCGUAAAGCUCUGUUGUAAGAGAAGAACGGGUGUGAGAGUGGAAAGUUCACACUGUGACGGUAUCUUACCAGAAAGGGACGGCUAACUACGUG